rnacentral:rRNA from 1 species
CAGCGCCACGAGUGGGAGCCGUUAUUAUUGGGCCUAAAGCGUUCGUAGCCGGUUUGAUAAAUUUUUUGUGAAAUUAUUCAGCUUAACUGAAUAGCGUGCAGGAAAGACUGUCAAACUUGGGACCGGGAGGAGUAUGAGGUAUUCCUUGGGGAGCGGUAAAAUGUUAUAAUCCUUGGAGGACCACCUGUGGCGAAGGCGUCAUACUAGAACGGAUCCGACGGUGAGGGACGAAAGCUAGGGGAGCGAUCCGGAUUAGAGACCCGAGUAGUCC